rnacentral:tRNA from 1 species
GUGGCUGUAGCUCAGUAGGUUAGAGCGCCAGGUUGUGGCCCUGGAGGCCGUGGGUUCGAGUCCCAUCAGCCACCCCA